AAAUGAAUAGACGGGGGCCCGCACAAGCGGUGGAGCAUGUGGUUUAAUUCGAAGCAACGCGAAGAACCUUACCAGGUCUUGACAUCUAGCGCCAAUCUUAGAGAUAAGACGUUCCCUUCGGGGACGCUAAGACAGGUGGUGCAUGGUUGUCGUCAGCUCGUGUCGUGAGAUGUUGGGUUAAGUCCCGCAACGAGCGCAACCCUUAUGAUUAGUUGCCAGCAUUCAGUUGGGCACUCUAGUCAGACUGCCGGUGACAAACCGGAGGAAGGUGGGGAUGACGUCAAAUCAUCAUGCCCCUUAUGACCUGGGCUACACACGUGCUACAAUGGCUAGUACAACGAGUUGCGAGACCGCGAGGUCAAGCUAAUCUCUAAAAGCUAGUCUCAGUUCGGAUUGUAGGCUGCAACUCGCCUACAUGAAGUUGGAAUCGCUAGUAAUCGCGGAUCAGCACGCCGCGGUGAAUACGUUCCCGGGCCUUGCACACACCGCCCGU
rnacentral:rRNA from 1 species